rnacentral:rRNA from 1 species
UACGUAGGGGGCAAGCGUUGUCCGGAAUUAUUGGGCGUAAAGCGCGCGUAGGCGGCCCGGUAAGUCCGCUGUGAAAGUCGGGGGCUCAACCCUCGAAUGCCGGUGGAUACUGUCGGGCUAGAGUGCGGGAGAGGCGAGUGGAAUUCCUGGUGUAGCGGUGAAAUGCGCAGAUAUCAGGAGGAACACCAAUUGCGAAGGCAGCUCGCUGGAACGUAACUGACGCUGAGACGCGAAAGCGUGGGGAGCAAACAGG